UACGUAGGGUGCGAGCGUUGUCCGGAAUUACUGGGCGUAAAGAGCUCGUAGGUGGUUUGUCGCGUUGUUCGUGAAAACCUGAGGCUUAACCUUGGGCGUGCGGGCGAUACGGGCAGACUGGAGUACUGCAGGGGAGACUGGAAUUCCUGGUGUAGCGGUGGAAUGCGCAGAUAUCGGGAGGAACACCGGUGGCGAAGGCGGGUCUCUGGGCAGUAACUGACGCUGAGGAGCGAAAGCGUGGGGAGCGAACAGG
rnacentral:rRNA from 1 species